rnacentral:rRNA from 1 species
AAAUUGAAGAGUUUGAUCAUGGCUCAGAUUGAACGCUGGCGGCAGGCCUAACACAUGCAAGUCGAACGGUAACAGGAAGCAGCUUGCUGCUUCGCUGACGAGUGGCGGACGGGUGAGUAAUGUCUGGGAAACUGCCUGAUGGAGGGGGAUAACUACUGGAAACGGUGGCUAAUACCGCAUAACGUCGCAAGACCAAAGAGGGGGACCUUCGGGCCUCUUGCCAUCAGAUGUGCCCAGAUGGGAUUAGCUUGUUGGUGAGGUAACGGCUCACCAAGGCGACGAUCCCUAGCUGGUCUGAGAGGAUGACCAGCCACACUGGAACUGAGACACGGUCCAGACUCCUACGGGAGGCAGCAGUGGGGAAUAUUGCACAAUGGGCGCAAGCCUGAUGCAGCCAUGCCGCGUGUAUGAAGAAGGCCUUCGGGUUGUAAAGUACUUUCAGCGGGGAGGAAGGUGUUGUGGUUAAUAACCGCAGCAAUUGACGUUACCCGCAGAAGAAGCACCGGCUAACUCCGUGCCAGCAGCCGCGGUAAUACGGAGGGUGCAAGCGUUAAUCGGAAUUACUGGGCGUAAAGCGCACGCAGGCGGUCUGUCAAGUCGGAUGUGAAAUCCCCGGGCUCAACCUGGGAACUGCAUUCGAAACUGGCAGGCUUGAGUCUUGUAGAGGGGGGUAGAAUUCCAGGUGUAGCGGUGAAAUGCGUAGAGAUCUGGAGGAAUACCGGUGGCGAAGGCGGCCCCCUGGACAAAGACUGACGCUCAGGUGCGAAAGCGUGGGGAGCAAACAGGAUUAGAUACCCUGGUAGUCCACGCCGUAAACGAUGUCUACUUGGAGGUUGUGCCCUUGAGGCGUGGCUUCCGGAGCUAACGCGUUAAGUAGACCGCCUGGGGAGUACGGCCGCAAGGUUAAAACUCAAAUGAAUUGACGGGGGCCCGCACAAGCGGUGGAGCAUGUGGUUUAAUUCGAUGCAACGCGAAGAACCUUACCUGGUCUUGACAUCCACGGAAGUUUUCAGAGAUGAGAAUGUGCCUUCGGGAACCGUGAGACA